rnacentral:rRNA from 1 species
UACGGGGGGGGCAAGCGUUGUUCGGAAUUACUGGGCGUAAAGGGCUCGUAGGCGGCCAACUAAGUCAGACGUGAAAUCCCUCGGCUUAACCGGGGAACUGCAUCUGAUACUGGAUGGCUUGAGCUCGGGAGAGGGAUGCGGAAUUCCAGGUGUAGCGGUGAAAUGCGUAGAUAUCUGGAGGAACACCGGUGGCGAAGGCGGCGUCCUGGACCAACACUGACACUGAGGCGCGAAAGCGUGGGGAGCGAACGGG